rnacentral:rRNA from 1 species
ACGAAAAAUGAAUACCAAGUCUCAAGAGUGAACACGUAAUUCAUUACGAAGUUUAAUUCAUUGAGCAUCAAACUUUUAAAUUGAAGAGUUUGAUCAUGGCUCAGAUUGAACGCUGGCGGCAGGCCUAACACAUGCAAGUCGAACGGUAACAGGAAGCAGCUUGCUGCUUUGCUGACGAGUGGCGGACGGGUGAGUAAUGUCUGGGAAACUGCCUGAUGGAGGGGGAUAACUACUGGAAACGGUGGCUAAUACCGCAUAACGUCGCAAGACCAAAGAGGGGGACCUUCGGGCCUCUUGCCAUCAGAUGUGCCCAGAUGGGAUUAGCUUGUUGGUGAGGUAACGGCUCACCAAGGCGACGAUCCCUAGCUGGUCUGAGAGGAUGACCAGCCACACUGGAACUGAGACACGGUCCAGACUCCUACGGGAGGCAGCAGUGGGGAAUAUUGCACAAUGGGCGCAAGCCUGAUGCAGCCAUGCCGCGUGUAUGAAGAAGGCCUUCGGGUUGUAAAGUACUUUCAGCGGGGAGGAAGGUGUUGUGGUUAAUAACCGCAGCAAUUGACGUUACCCGCAGAAGAAGCACCGGCUAACUCCGUGCCAGCAGCCGCGGUAAUACGGAGGGUGCAAGCGUUAAUCGGAAUUACUGGGCGUAAAGCGCACGCAGGCGGUCUGUCAAGUCGGAUGUGAAAUCCCCGGGCUCAACCUGGGAACUGCAUUCGAAACUGGCAGGCUUGAGUCUUGUAGA